GACGAACGCUGGCGGCGUGCCUAAUACAUGCAAGUCGAGCGGACGUUUUUGAAGCUUGCUUUAAAAACGUUAGCGGCGGACGGGUGAGUAACACGUGGGCAACCUACCUUAUCGACUGGGAUAACUCCGGGAAACCGGGGCUAAUACCGGAUAACAUCUAGCACCUCCUGGUGCCGGAUUGAAAGAGGGCUUCUUGCUCUCACGAUAAGAUGGGCCCGCGGAGCAUUAGCUAGUUGGAGAGGUAAUGGCUCCCCAAGGCGACGAUGCGUAGCCGACCUGGGACGGUGAUCGGCCACACUGGGACUGAGACACGGCCCAGACUCCUACGGGAGGCAGCAGUAGGGAAUCUUCCGCAAUGGACGAAAGUCUGACGGAGCAACGCCGCGUGAGUGAUGAAGGGUUUCGGCUCGUAAAGCUCUGUUAUGAGGGGAGAACACGUACCGUUCGAAUAGGGCGGUGCCUUGACGGUACCUCAUCAGAAAGCCACGGCUAACUACGUGCCAGCCGCCGCCGUAA
rnacentral:rRNA from 1 species